AGUGAACGCUGGCGGUAGGCCUAACACAUGCAAGUCGAACGGCAGCACAGUAAGAGCUUGCUCUUACGGGUGGCGAGUGGCGGACGGGUGAGGAAUACAUCGGAAUCUACUUUUUCGUGGGGGAUAACGUAGGGAAACUUACGCUAAUACCGCAUACGACUUACGGGUGAAAGCAGGGGAUCUUCGGACCUUGCGCGAUUGAAGGAGCCGAUGUCGGAUUAGCUAGUUGGCGGGGUAAAGGCCCACCAAGGCGACGAUCCGUAGCUGGUCUGAGAGGAUGAUCAGCCACACUGGAACUGAGACACGGUCCAGACUCCUACGGGAGGCAGCAGUGGGGAAUAUUGGACAAUGGGCGCGAGCCUGAUCCAGCCAUACCGCGUGGGUGAAGAAGGCCUUCGGGUUGUAAAGCCCUUUUGUUGGGAAAGAAAAGCAGCAGGUUAAUACCCCGCUGUUCUGACGGUACCCAAAGAAUAAGCACCGGCUAACUUCGUG
rnacentral:rRNA from 1 species